rnacentral:rRNA from 1 species
GGGCCCGCACAAGCGGUGGAGCAUGUGGUUUAAUUCGAUGCAACGCGAAAAAACCUUACCUACACUUGACAUACUUCGAAUUUUCUAGAGAUAGAUUAGUGCCUUCGGGAGCGAAGAUACAGGUGCUGCAUGGCUGUCGUCAGCUCGUGUCGUGAGAUGUUGGGUUAAGUCCUAUAACGAGCGCAACCCUUACCCUUAUUUUGCCAGCGGUUAGGCCGGGAACUAUAAGGGAACUGCCGGUAAUAAGCCGGAGGAAGGUGGGGACGACGUCAAGUCAUCAUGGCCCUUACGUGUAGGGCUACACACGUGCUACAAUGGGAGAUACAGACGGUUGCUAAAGCGCGAGCUGGAGCCAA